rnacentral:rRNA from 1 species
GGUCAAGCUACAAAGGGCGCAUGGUGAAUGCCUUGGCAUCAGGAGCCGAUGAAGGACGCGAUAAGCUGCGAUAAGCUUCGGGUAGACGCACAUAGUCAGAGAUCCGAAGAUUUCCGAAUGAGGAAACUCACAUGGGAAACCCCAUGU